rnacentral:lncRNA from 1 species
AUAAAACCAUGUUCUUCUCCAUCCAUUUUCCUGUCUGUUAAAAACCCAUUUUCUAAUACAGGCCAUUUGGUGUUAUUGUCUGUAGGUUCUGGAUCCACUCCCGUGCUGCCCACAGGUCCAGAGGCCCACAGGUCCAGCCUAUAUGUGACUGUAACCCUGAUAUGGUAAGGUUCUGGAUCCACUCCCGUGCUGCCCACAGGUCCAGAGGCCCACAGGUCCAGCCUAUAUGUGACUGUAACC